rnacentral:rRNA from 1 species
GGAUGAACGCUGGCGGCGUGCCUAAUACAUGCAAGUCGAGCGAACGGACGAGAAGCUUGCUUCUCUGAUGUUAGCGGCGGACGGGUGAGUAACACGUGGAUAACCUACCUAUAAGACUGGGAUAACUUCGGGAAACCGGAGCUAAUACCGGAUAAUAUUUUGAACCGCAUGGUUCAAAAGUGAAAGACGGUCUUGCUGUCACUUAUAGAUGGAUCCGCGCUGCAUUAGCUAGUUGGUAAGGUAACGGCUUACCAAGGCAACGAUGCAUAGCCGACCUGAGAGGGUGAUCGGCCACACUGGAACUGAGACACGGUCCAGACUCCUACGGGAGGCAGCAGUAGGGAAUCUUCCGCAAUGGGCGAAAGCCUGACGGAGCAACGCCGCGUGAGUGAUGAAGGUCUUCGGAUCGUAAAACUCUGUUAUUAGGGAAGAACAUAUGUGUAAGUAACUGUGCACAUCUUGACGGUACCUAAUCAGAAAGCCACGGCUAACUACGUGCCAGCAGCCGCGGUAAUACGUAGGUGGCAAGCGUUAUCCGGAAUUAUUGGGCGUAAAGCGCGCGUAGGCGGUUUUUUAAGUCUGAUGUGAAAGCCCACGGCUCAACCGUGGAGGGUCAUUGGAAACUGGAAAACUUGAGUGCAGAAGAGGAAAGUGGAAUUCCAUGUGUAGCGGUGAAAUGCGCAGAGAUAUGGAGGAACACCAGUGGCGAAGGCGACUUUCUGGUCUGUAACUGACGCUGAUGUGCGAAAGCGUGGGGAUCAAACAGGAUUAGAUACCCUGGUAGUCCACGCCAUAAACGAUGAGUGCUAAGUGUUAGGGGGUUUCCGCCCCUUAGUGCUGCAGCUAACGCAUUAAGCACUCCGCCUGGGGAGUACGACCGCAAGGUUGAAACUCAAAGGAAUUGACGGGGACCCGCACAAGCGGUGGAGCAUGUGGUUUAAUUCGAAGCAACGCGAAGAACCUUACCAAAUCUUGACAUCCUUUGACAACUCUAGAGAUAGAGCCUUCCCCUUCGGGGGACAAAGUGACAGGUGGUGCAUGGUUGUCGUCAGCUCGUGUCGUGAGAUGUUGGGUUAAGUCCCGCAACGAGCGCAACCCUUAAGCUUAGUUGCCAUCAUUAAGUUGGGCACUCUAAGUUGACUGCCGGUGACAAACCGGAGGAAGGUGGGGAUGACGUCAAAUCAUCAUGCCCCUUAUGAUUUGGGCUACACACGUGCUACAAUGGACAAUACAAAGGGCAGCGAAACCGCGAGGUCAAGCAAAUCCCAUAAAGUUGUUCUCAGUUCGGAUUGUAGUCUGCAACUCGACUACAUGAAGCUGGAAUCGCUAGUAAUCGUAGAUCAGCAUGCUACGGUGAAUACGUUCCCGGGUCUUGUACACACCGCCCGUCACACCACGAGAGUUUGUAACACCCGAAGCCGGUGGAGUAACCUUUUAGGAGCUAGCCGUCGAAGGUGGGAC